rnacentral:snRNA from 1 species
AUCGCUUCUCGGCCUUUUGGCUAAGAUCAAGUGUAGUAUCUGUUCUUAUCAGUUUAAUAUCUGAUAUGUCCUCUAUUUGAGGACUAUAUAUUAAAUCGAUUUUUGGAGCUGGGAGAUGGAAGGGCUUGCUCCAUCCACUCCAUGCACCGACCUGGUAUUGCAGUGCCUCCAGGAAUGGUGCAAAAAAA